rnacentral:lncRNA from 1 species
GUUAAGUGAACUAAGUCAGACAGUGUUCUACUUCUCACAUGCGAAUGUGUAUAAAAACAGACCUGAACAAGGAAUAGUACUAAGAAUGGGAGACUUGGGGGUGAAGGAUUUGGAUAACUGGGCACAGACAGAAGGAAUGAGUACUAGUAUCCUACAGUACUGUGGAGUGAUGCAGCCCACAGAGCCUGUCAUUUGUGCUAUGAAUUACCGGAGGAGAGGAGUUCGAAGUCCGCCAACCCAAGGUCAUGACCAGGAGGUAGAGUUGCAGAUCACCCUGGUUUCAUCCAUGCACAUUUCAUCUGUGCAUGGAACAUCACACAGUGCCUCAUAAAUGCACACACUUACUUCAUGUUAAUAAAAAAAUUAGAACUUGUUCAGGAAGGAACAUAACUGAUGCACAGGUCCACACAUCUGUGGGUUCAGUGUGGUGCUUAGAUGCUCAUGCACAUUGGGUCAUGAUCAGGGUGGAGAAGGAGCACCUCACCCCCCAGACACCUUUCAAAGAACCCUCUCCAGUUCUCAUGAAACACAGGAUGUCAGUGGCAGGAGCUGAGCUCGUACCCGACUCGCAUCAAGUUCCUUUUGCACCCAGAGCAACGCCUGCACCCUGCUGGCAGCAGCGACCUGGUCGGUGCCCUGGUUUUCCUGGGGACCCUUCACACAAUCAGCACUUCUUGUCAUGCUGCUCUGAUCACUUGCAUCUGAUGCAGAUUUCAACAGAUGGAGCUCAGGGUCCUUGCGUGGGCUCUGCAGUCUGUGGUUGCCUGCAAGUGUCAAGGGCUCAGCACCCCAGGACAUUGUCAUCAAUGAGGGCCUCGUCCUUGGUGGGCACUGGCGCUGUCCUUCCAGCAGCACGAUGGAGCCUCAUGGCCACUCACACUGACCCCAUCUUCUGGCCUCCCAACCUUCCUCUCCCUCACUUGCAUCUGUCUCAUCAGACUUCCAUGGUGUCUUCCUAGAUAAACUCCCUGGCCAGAACCCUGCCCCAAGGUCUGUUUUUGAAGGGAUUUGAAACCAACAUAAGACUGGAUAUGGAGCUGUGGAGGAGAGGUAACCAGGAGGAAACAGAUCAAUUCAUUCAUCGCAAACAAGAACGUGGAGGGAGCAGGAAGAGCAACACUCCCUGGGGUUGAAAGACAAACAGGGAAGCCUUGUGUUUGUGGAAGGACUCCCUCAGGCUGGGCUGCACAGGCAGGAGGCAAGGAAUUACAUAGUCCAGAAAGUGUCAGUAUAGC